GGAAAGAAAGCCAAGACCUGUAUGUGGGAC
rnacentral:piRNA from 1 species